rnacentral:rRNA from 1 species
UACAGAGGGGGCAAGCGUUGUCCGGAAUUACUGGGCGUACAGCGCGCGCAGGCGGUCCGCUACGUGCCGUGUGACAAUCGUCGGCUUAACCGACGGAGGCCAGGGUACACGGACGGACUGGAGGCAGAGAGAGGGAUGUGGAAUACCCGGUGGAGCGGUGAAAUGCGUAGAGAUCGGGUGGAACACCAGGGGCGAAGGCGGCAUCCUGGCUCUGUCCUGACGCUGAGGCGCGAGAGCGUGGGGAGCAAACCGG